UACGGAGGGUGCAAGCGUUGUUCGGACUUAUUGGGCGUAAAGGGCGCGUAGGCUGUUGUGUAAGUCAGAUGUGAAAUACUUCGGCUUAACCGAAGAACUGCAUUUGAAACUGCACAGCUAGAGUACAGGAGAGGGAAAUGGAAUUCCCGGUGUAGAGGUGAAAUUCGUAGAUAUCGGGAGGAACACCAGUGGCGAAGGCGAUUUCCUGGCCUGAUACUGACGCUGAGGCGCGAAAGCGUGGGGAGCAAACAGG
rnacentral:rRNA from 1 species